rnacentral:rRNA from 1 species
UUAGUAACGCGUGGGAACGUGCCCUUCUCUGCGGAAUAGCCACUGGAAACGGUGAGUAAUACCGCAUACGCCCUUCGGGGGAAAGAUUUAUCGGAGAAGGAUCGGCCCGCGUUAGAUUAGAUAGUUGGUGGGGUAAUGGCCUACCAAGUCUACGAUCUAUAGCUGGUUUUAGAGGAUGAUCAGCAACGCUGGGACUGAGACACGGCCCAGACUCCUACGGGAGGCAGCAGUGGGGAAUCUUAGACAAUGGGCGCAAGCCUGAUCUAGCCAUGCCGCGUGUGUGAUGAAGGUCUUAGGAUCGUAAAGCACUUUCGCCAGGGAUGAUAAUGACAGUACCUGGUAAAGAAACCCCGGCUAACUCCGUGCCAGCAGCCGCGGUAAUACGGAGGGGGUUAGCGUUGUUCGGAAUUACUGGGCGUAAAGCGUACGUAGGCGGAUCAGAAAGUUGGGGGUGAAAUCCCAGGGCUCAACCCUGGAACUGCCUCCAAAACUCCUGGUCUUGAGUUCGGGAGAGGUGAGUGGAAUUCCAAGUGUAGAGGUGAAAUUCGUAGAUAUU